rnacentral:rRNA from 1 species
CCUACGGGAGGCAGCAGUGAGGAAUAUUGGUCAAUGGACGAGAGUCUGAACCAGCCAAGUAGCGUGAAGGAUGACUGCCCUAUGGGUUGUAAACUUCUUUUAUAUGGGAAUAAAAUGUUCCACGUGUGGGAUUUUGUAUGUACCAUAUGAAUAAGGAUCGGCUAACUCAGUGCCAGCAGCCGCGGUAAUACGGAGGAUCCGAGCGUUAUCCGGAUUUAUUGGGUUUAAAGGGAGCGUAGGUGGAUUGUUAAGUCAGUUGUGAAAGUUUGCGGCUCAACCGUAAAAUUGCAGUUGAAACUGGCAGUCUUGAGUACAGUAGAGGUGGGCGGAAUUCGUGGUGUAGCGGUGAAAUGCUUAGAUAUCACGAAGAACUCCGAUUGCGAAGGCAGUUCACUGGACUGCAACUGACACUGAGGCUCGAAAGUGUGGGUAUCAAACAGGAUUAGAUACCCGUGUAGUC